GCAGCGCGGGGCCGAUCCGACUCACUGCAGGCCCUGGCGACCGAGCGCAGUCUUCCUCCCCGGAGCCGAGCCCCAACCAAGCGCGUCACCUCCUCGCCGCCAGUGCCCAGCCCAGCGCGCCGCCCCUGCGCGCUUCCGCCGGCAACCCCUCCCGCCCCCCUCAGCCCUGCUCCGCGCCUCCCCCGGGCCCGCAGCUCCUCCCACCGCAGCCCGCUGACACCGAAGCGCUCUCGACCCCUGACCUCUAACCUCCGCCCGGCUCUUCUUGCUUCGUCCCUCGCCCCCUCCCCGCCAAGCUGGUCGCACUGUUGCCGUUUCACUGCGGCUGACGGAAGGCCAAGGAAGAAAGAGGGUAGAGACGCUGUCGCGAGGAUCAGGCUGCCCUCUCCUUUCCCAGGGACCGUGUUGGGGCCUUCUGACCACCCCGCCCCGCAUCCUGCGCCUCGGAGGCCCAACGUAGCCCAAGACACCCAUGGUCUUGAUGCUCUCCGCCUCUGUCCCAGCCACCAAAGUCCCCGCGAUGGAAUGGAGGACGGGGUGGCCUUGGGCAGAGAAGCGCUUCUUGUGCCGGAUGGAAGGAAACCGUAGCUCUGGCUGUGUUCAUCGCGAAAUGUUUUAUGGAUGUGGAGUGGCUUCAGGCAGCCUCCAUGCCUGUCUGGAUGAUGUAAAGAGAUCUUGAGGCAGAAAUGAAAGAGUUUAGCUGUCUUUGAGUUUGCUGCAGUGAAAAGAAAUAUCCCAAGUGUGACUGGGAAGAGAAGACCCGGGACAGGCCAGAAACUGGAGUGAGGAAGAAAGAACCACAGAAUAUUAAUGUAAUGAAUAACUUUCAAGUCCUAUCUGGUCCGUGUCCUGGCAAAGUCCCUUGGGGUCUCUCCCCUGCUUUCCGUUCAUCAGGAUGACUGAGCUCAGUAAUUGUAACAAAGGGAGUGUAGUAGGCAAGGGGACAAAACCCAUAGUAUCCCACCCCUGAUUGACUUAUUAACUCAAUGAACACUUAUUGAAUACCUACGAUAUGCCAGAAGCAGUUCCGGGUACUGGAAAUACAUCAGUGAAUAAAACAGCCACUCAUCCUAGUAAAUCUGCCCAACUGGUGCUUCCACUCUGCGGUGCUUGUGGAUAGUGA
rnacentral:lncRNA from 10 species